rnacentral:rRNA from 1 species
CAGUCGCCGCGGGAAUACAGAGGGUGCAAGCGUUAAUCGGAAUUACUGGGCGUAAAGCGCGCGUAGGUGGUUUGUUAAGUUGGAUGUGAAAGCCCCGGGCUCAACCUGGGAACUGCAUCCAAAACUGGCAAGCUUGAGUACGGUAGAGGGUGGUGGAAUUUCCUGUGUAGCGGUGAAAUGCGUAGAUAUAGGAAGGAACACCAGUGGCGAAGGCGACCACCUGGACUGAUACUGACACUGAGGUGCGAAAGCAUGGGGAGCAAACAGGAUUAGAUACCCCUGUAGUCCCUGUCUCUUAUAC